AUCGCUUCUCGGCCUUUUGGCUAAGAUCAAGUGUAGUAUCUGUUCUUAUCAGUUUAAUAUCUGAUACGUCCUCUAUCCGAGGACAACGUAUUAAAUGGAUUUUUGGAGUAGGGAGUUGGAACUAGGAGCUUGCUCUGUCCACUCCACGCAUCGACCUGGUAUUGCAGUAUCUUCCGGGAACGGUGCACCCUUC
ensembl:snRNA U2 U2 spliceosomal RNA